CCCCUACGGGAGGCAGCAGUGGGGAAUUUUGGACAAUGGGCGCAAGCCUGAUCCAGCCAUGCCGCGUGCAGGAUGAAGGCCUUCGGGUUGUAAACUGCUUUUGUACGGAACGAAAAGACUCCUUCUAAUAAAGGGGGUUCAUGACGGUACCGUAAGAAUAAGCACCGGCUAACUACGUGCCAGCAGCCGCGGUAAUACGUAGGGUGCGAGCGUUAAUCGGAAUUACUGGGCGUAAAGCGUGCGCAGGCGGUGAUGUAAGACAGAUGUGAAAUCCCCGGGCUCAACCUGGGAACUGCAUUUGUGACUGCAUCGCUGGAGUGCGGCAGAGGGGGAUGGAAUUCCGCGUGUAGCAGUGAAAUGCGUAGAUAUGCGGAGGAACACCGAUGGCGAAGGCAAUCCCCUGGGCCUGCACUGACGCUCAUGCACGAAAGCGUGGGGAGCAAACAGGAUUAGAUACCCUGGUAGUC
rnacentral:rRNA from 1 species